rnacentral:rRNA from 1 species
UACGGGGGGGGCUAGCGUUGCUCGGAAUCAUUGGGCGUAAAGCGCGCGCAGGCGGUCUUCCAAGUCAGUGGUGAAAGCCCGGAGCUCAACUCCGGAACUGCCAUUGAAACUGUGAGACUUGAGGAUGAGAGAGGUGAGUGGAAUUCCCAGUGUAGAGGUGAAAUUCGUAGAUAUUGGGAAGAACACCGGUGGCGAAGGUGGCUCACUGGCUCAUAUCUGACGCUCAGGCGCGACAGCGUGGGGAUCAAACAGG